AUUGAACGCUAGCGGGAUGCCUUACACAUGCAAGUCGAACGGAGUGGCGAACGGGUGAUUGAUGUAUCGGAACGUGCCCAGUAGCGGGGGAUAACUACGCGAAAGCGUAGCUAAUACCGCAUACUUUUGGAGCGGCCGAUAGCGGAGUAGCUGGUUGGUGGGGUAACGGCUCACCAAGGCGACGAUCCGUAGGCGGGUUGAGAGGACGACCAGCCACACUGGGACUGAGACACGGCCCAGACUCCUACGGGAGGCAGCAGUGGGGAAUUGUGGACAAUGGGGGAAACCCUGAUCCAGCCAUCCCGCGUGUGUGAGGAAGGCCUUCGGGUUGUAAAGCACUUUUGGCAGGAAAGCGGUACCUGCAGAAUAAGCACCGGCUAACUACGUGCCAGCAGCCGCGGUAAUUC
rnacentral:rRNA from 1 species